AUCAGAGUGGCACAGCGGAAGCGUGGUGGGCCCAUAACCCACAGUCGUAGGAUCAAAAUCUGUCUCUGAUA
rfam:Zea mays cultivar B73 chromosome 3, whole genome shotgun sequence.